AAGAUACUAGUAUAGCUGACUCAAUACACUGCCUUGUCAAGGCAUAAUCGUAGGUUAAAAUCCUGCGUAUCUUG
rnacentral:tRNA from 1 species